GGCGCGGUGCCCGCCGGGGUGGCCGCGGUCGGUCGCGGCCGGCAGGGUCUGGCUGUGCGUGGGGAACUCGGAGCUGCUGUGGAAACGGCCCGAGCCGUAAGUGCGGUGAGACAGGGAGUGCCCAUCCCAGCUUGUUCGUGCCAUGGAGCACAGCGGGGCCCGGGCACUGAGGUAACGCAGGGGGCACGGGAAGCGCUGCUCGUCCCGGGCCGAACCGGGAGCGCGAACAACACCAGCUCCGGCCUCUGGAGCAGGAACUGGCCCUUCUGCUCUGAACAGCACUGCUCCGAGGCCUGGGCCCUGCCACAUUUGAAAACUCAGCAUGUCAGAUUUGUUCAUUUUGUACUCAAGUCUGUGAGGUAUUCGGUAUUAACUGAACACGUCAGCUGGAAGUGACACAAACUCCUUUUUGCUAUACUGGGAGAAAUAAAAGUGACGGGAGCAAAAAAGACCAGACUCGUGCCUGGAUGGAUGGUCCAGUGGAAGUCUGUGAUGGAUCUCCCUGCCCAGGAGAGUCCCCUGCAGCAAAGCAUGGGCUGUCCUCCAGAUCCCCACAAGUCCUUGUGAUCAAUAGCACUGUCCACAGUCUUUACCAGGAUUUUGGCACACAUCAGACAGAACAGCAGCAUUUACUGGAGCCCAGACAAUGUGGGGCAUUUGGAAGAGGGAGGAGAGAGGUUAGGAAAAAGGAAAAAGGAAAAGCAGAUCACAAGUUUGGACAACAUUUGAAUAUUUUGGAACUGCUUUGAAUGCUGCACUCUGAGCUGUUGAGGUAUGACAAAUUUGGGCUUUGUUUUAAACUGGCGUAGUCUGCUGUUACUGAGAAUGCUUUUAAUAUUUCAACUCAAAUAUGUCCUUUAGGGUGACAUAUUGCAAACAUGCUUUCUGUUUUGUUCUCAAUUUUGCUUUGUUGUUGGAGUUGCAAUGUAAAUAUGCACCAUAUUUUUCUCUGCAUAUACCUCAUUAUAUUAAAGUCUUCUCUAUGCAGUGUCUGCUUCCCAGCACCAGAGUGUACAGGAAUAUAUUGUCUUUAUUCUGAGUUUGGCAAUGAAAAUGUUCUUACUGGUUUAACUGUACAAGGGCAAAAAUUGUGACAGCAGACAACAGCAUCUGAAAGUCAUUAGCAAACAUCUGAAAUUACUUCCUGAGUGUGCCACAAUGAAGUGUGGAAUGAGCAAAUGAUCUGCAGGGGUGGCAGACGGGAAGAAUUCCCAUGUAUGAUAAAGUCAAAGAAAAAAAAAUGCACAUUUGUUAAUACAAAUCUUCACCCCAUCCUGGUUUCUUCCAUGCAAGACUCUUUUCUGCCUUUACUUAACAUGAGAAUUAAGAAACCCAGGAUUCCUUUAACAACUUACUUCUCCAUUUCACUCAGCUAUCAAUUUCAACAAGUUCAGUUCCAUGAUAUGUGCUUCCAGGAAAGUCUUGCUUUCUUAUUUUUCUUUAAUUUGCAUUUAAUUCACCCACUCAGCCACUAACCUGUGCCUAUUUGCCUAUUUGAAAACCAAAGAUGAAUUUAUGAUUACUACAUGGUGACUACCAGAAGCAAAAACCAUAAGAGUGAUCUGUAAGAAAGGAAACUGGUAUUAUAUUAUGGUUUUAUGCUGUGCUUUUUCUAAAUCAUGCUCUUUAGACUGCAACAUUCUUUAAUAGAUGUUAUGUUACCAUAGAAACAAGUACUUGUGGCUGACUGUGCAAGGGUCUGUACAGAACAGAAAUGGUCCUCGUUGUUAAUUUAAAAAAGUUCUAAGAGAGGUGCACAGAGGCUUGGGAGAAAAAAUACAGAUUUUUGACACACAAGGUAGUAUGUGAUGUCACUAUAUGAGCAACCCCAAAACUGGCCUAUUUAUUGUAGAUACCACAAUGCAGAAGUUUAAUGAAGCAUGCAGACUAAUACUGAAAAAAAUUGUGUUAUGCCUGUUAAAAUCUAUCAACAGUUGAGGAUUUCUACAAGUCUGCAAAACUUUGUAUCACUAUGACCAUAAAAAAAAUCAGCAUAUUAUUCUACCAUAUGUUCUAUAAUCUGUACAUUAGAUAUUACAUUGACUUUAGGUGUUGAAAUGAGGUGUGUUAUUUUUGUACUAGAGCACUUGUCAUUGCCUUCCUGAAUUUAAAUUUGAGUAUAAAAUAUCUGUUGUUAAAUUUUUAAACAUACUUAGAUCAUUAAAUUUCAAAACAAAGCAAGAUCUGAAUUAACUGCUAAAAAAACCAAAAAAAACCCAAGCAUUAAUUCAAUCUGUCAGUUCAGAAUUGUCAAAUGCAUCACUCUAAGCAGCAGUGGUUUCACCAUUUUCCUGUUUGUCUUGAAUACCUUCUUUGAAUAAUGUUCAACUAUAUUUUUUGUUUUAUUUUAUUUUCUAGGAGAGACAAACUCAUCUUUUAUCUUGAAUUUAUGGGUGCUAAUCAAACAAAUCUCAUUUCUCAGGCAUGGCAUAGUUAGAGAGGGGUUUUCAGCACCCCACUGUUAAAUUCAGCAAAUGACAAUGUGUUGCAUGUCUCAAGCUGAAAUACUAUUCAUAUAUUUGUUUCUGUAUUUCUUGGUCCAAUUCUACUGCUAUGUAGAGAAAAAACACACUUCCAUUUUUCUGAAGGUUGUAUUAGAAUAACCAAUUUAGCUUACUGUGAAAAUCAAUGCUAUUUUUAGUAUCUGAGUUCUUGAAGGUAAAUGAGAUUUGCACUGGAAACAAGAUCUGUUUUCCAACAAAUUUCUUGAGAUGCUCCCAUCUCUAGAGAAGCUGUUUUAAUUUUUGUGGUGAAGAUUAGGGAAGCUAAUCACACCCUGCUAGCAGGUAGGUAACUUUUAUUUACAAAAUCAUUGGUUACACAUGGAAUGUGGUGGCAUAUUAUGUUGUUGAGUUGGGUGGAGGUGUUUUUUUCCAAAUAUACACAUUUCAAGAAUUGAAAGCACACAUUUUUAUCUAGAUUCUGACUGUUACCAUAUUUGAGCAACUGUUCAGAUGUGCUAGUCAGGCUUUUGGAGGAAAACUGGCCAUGUUCUCCCACAGUUGUCAUGUAUCUGUCACACUAACACCAGCUAGGAAAAUCAAAUUGGAAACAUUCUGUUACGAGCUGUGAACAUCCUUUGCAGCAGUGUCAUUUGCGUCAGAAAGGCUGCUAUUGUUUUCAAAUGUCAAUAUUCAUUUUAAGUGGAAGAGAAAGGCAAAGCAGUCUUUUGUUGAAAGUUAGCCCAUUCAUGAGUGCAGUGAGGAAAACACAAACUGAGGCACAAAGAUCAGGCGGGAUUUAGAUCCUUCAAGUGCUUCCAUGUACCUUCCACCAAGACACUGUGGGUAGAUACAGCUCCUAUAAACUUCCUUACACUCUUUCAAAACUCUACCUAGCCAAAAGGCAUAAAUAGACAUCUACAAUGAAGUACAUACAUUUCUAUGGUCAUUAAUUUAAUUUUUAAAGUGGCAAGUACAGCUAAAAGUCUUCCCCAUGAUGGUCCUUUCAGAUACUCAUCCUCCCAAUCUAUGUGUUUAGAAAACAGACAAUUCUGUAAGCUAUUCAUUCUUUCAGCAUUAAGAGUUAUUCUCCUGAUAAGAGAAAGGACAUAUUCACUUAAAAAAAGCAAAUAAAUAACUUCACACAGAGGAACAAGAUAAAAAGUAUUCUCUCUAACCAGAGGAUAUACUGAAUCAUUUAAGAAUUCUGCAGCAAAAUUUGCUUAUUGGCAAACUGUUUAGGUAUAUUUCUAUGACAGUGAUUUGUCUGUAUUCUUUCCACUGACAUUCCAAGAUAUGGAUGUUAAAUUUCUAGCAUUUUUUAGUGUCUGGUUGUUUUUUAUCGUCACAAUAUAGACACACUUAAAAAUGUGAAAUAUUUGCUUGUACUAUUUUCAUUCCAUUUCUUAAAUUCAAACAACUUUUCAUUACAAGAUAUUCUAAUAAUAUGUUCUCACACCUAUUUUUUUAUUGCCUCUUGUAUUCUAAACAUUAUUCUACCCAUCCUGUUUGAAGUCCUACACUACAGUAAAACGCUCAGGUUCCCUAACGCAUGACUUUGAAUAACAGAGAAUUAUGUGUAUUAUUUAUAUGCAAUAUCUGGCUGUAUUUGACAAAUAGAAAUUGCUUUCAUGAUCUCAUUUGAAACUGGGAACUAUCAGAAGAUUGACCAAUGGUGGAACUUGAAAGUUAUGGAAGUAGGUCUGCACAUGGUGUGAGGGAAAAAUGAAGUUAGUUGGAUUUAAAGAACGGAAUCAUGUGAACAAAUUGAGAAUGAAAAACAUUGAGCAGACAUACAUGUGAAAGAACUGAAAAGAGUAUUGACACAAUUGAAUAUUUUAAUUAUAUGUUCUAGUUGUCUCAAUUAGUUAUGGAAAACUCUGCAAGAUUUGACUAUCACCUAAAUCUGCAGAUCACAAAGAGAUGAUCAUAAAAUAUUUACUGCAAAAGUGACAAAGUUUAAUUUUGUUCACAGUUAUUAAAAAGGAGGAAAGGAACAACAUGAUGAAAACACUAAGGGGUUUAGUCAUCUUACUCGUGAACUAAAAUUCAAACAACCAUAAGAUCAUGUCAGAACAGCUAAAGCCAUGGUUUACAUGGAGGAAAAUGGGUGUGAAGAUGAAAGAGUGAGAAGAUGGAUCUGUAUGUCAUCUGCACAGCAGCAAUUGUAAUAAGACAGAUUCCCUGGUUUAUGAAAAGGGCUUAGACAGCACAAAAACAAGGAGUCAGAGAGGAAAAUAUUUAAAGGAAUGACACCUGCCACUUUCAGAAGGAUAGUAAGGACAAUACCACCAGUUGUGGGAUUUUGCUUGGAUGAAGUAAUGACUUUGGCAAAGGUUUUUUCAAUUAUGGUUAAGUCAUAAAGCAUACCCAAGAAGAACUAGGAUGAAACACAUGUGCUGUUCUUGUCUUUUCUAAAAUUAACACUUUUGGGUAUCUUUCUACACAAAUAAAAAUCAUUCUCAUUGUCUGUCUCUCAGGUUCCCUAAUCCCACAGCAUUAUAUUGGAAGCUUGAGAAUCUAAGACCAAUUUUUAUUCACUCUCAUGAUUUUUGAGUUAAUUUAUGAUGAAGACCAAAGUCUGACUUUGAACUUGGCAUUAUUUCCAAUGGGAUCUGAGUAUAGAUGUGACAAAGUAUACCCAAAGACUUUUACUACAGAUUUUAAUUUCUAAUACCAUUCAUGUGCUCAUUUGCAGGUCUAGACCUAUAAUGCUUAGUUAGCUUGAACAGCUGUAUUUUUAUGACUGCAAUAGGUUUGAAUGAAAGUUUAAAAGCUUGUGUGUACUUACUGUAUGUCCAAUUAAUCUUCACUCUGCAAAAUCGAGGUUUACCCUUCUUUUUUUGCUACAUUGCAGUUCUUGUGCUUGCUUUGGACUGCAAUCCUGGCUCACACUUCAAGUUAACAAGGCUGUGGUACUGCCUAAUAAUCCCUAACAUGUUUAAACAGAUGUUUAUAGUUGCUGGUGUACCUAAGCUCUUGUUUUAAUUCCUGAGGUUGCUUGUUAAACUUGAAUAUUACACAAGGUUUCUGAUGAUAAAGUGUGAUUUUUGCUAUAUUUGAUGGAUGAUAUAUGAAUGCCAACACCUGAAGCAUCUCAAACUCUUCAAAAUAAAUGACAAGUACAGAGAUAUGGGGUUUAAAUCUCAUAGCAACACAGCAGAAUAAUUUUAUCUCAAAUUGGAAGAAAACAUUUAAAAGGAAUAUAAUCUGACCAAGAUUGUCACCAUGUAACAAGAUAUUUUGUGAUAAAUUUUGAAGAAGGCAUAUUUAAAAAUUCAGUUCUGGAUUUAUAAAAUCCAUAUGAAGUGGCUUAUUCCAACAGAAGAGUUUUGUAACUCCUCAUUUAAUUAAUCAGAUUGCUCUGCAGAUGGCGGUAAAAUUUAUUUUCUAUUUAAAGAGCGUCUCGCCUCAUCAAAAUCAAGGAAAUAUACUUUCCAACUUAACCAAAAACUUGGCAAAGUUCUGCACUGGCACCAAGAAAUCCCAUACAAAAAGCCUGUCUCCCAUCUUACUUGUUUUGCUGUGCCAGAAACAUUUUUAAAAGACCACAAAUUAGACCUUUCAUACUCUACUGUGAAAUAUUCACACUGACUUUAAACACACACAUACUCUCAAGAUCCCAGCAAUUGGCUCAGCCUGGCCUGCACCACAUGAAAUAGGUGUUUCCCUUUCCCACAAACUAGUCUAUGGAAAGCCAGAGCAUCUCCAGGCUGUUAGACUGGGGCAGAGAGGCACAGCUGGAUAGUUGCCUGCUCACACUUCGUGGUGUGAAUGGGAAAUGUCCUGAGAAGAAACCAAGGUCUUCCAGAGAAAAUCCACACAACUUUCCCAUACUGCUGUUGAGUCGUUUUUCCGUGAAGGAGAGAAAGAAAAGAGUUUUCCCAGGAGUCUGGAACAUCAGAGCUAUCCGUAUAGGUGUCAGACAAUCCAAGGAAAAGGAUGGGAAGAUAAAAGAGGAGAAAGACUACAGUUAGCUCCAAGAUGAGUACAGAGCCACUAGGACGAAGAACUCCAUUUCCAACAGCAAGUGGCAGUGGACAGCAAACCUGAAACAUUUCCAUGGAGCACUGGGGCAGGAAUAGGAUGCAGACAGGAGAAAUCUGCAUAAAUGGCAUUAUCAGAAAGAUAAAAAAAAUAAAAAGGAAAGCCAAAUCAGAAGACAGUCAUCUGCCACAUGGUGAAAAUAAAGGAAAAGGCCAAGGAGAAGGCUUACUGCCAAAUGUUCAUGGGAUCAUUUUACCAAAAGCAAGAUCUAAAAUAUAACAGAAAAGUAGAAGAUGAACAACUAUAUGCCUGGAUCAUUUAAGUUAAAAUGAAUAUUUACCUUGACAAAUAACAUAAAUAUCUACUGUGGUCACUGAGAAAUAGAAUCUUUGAUGUAAUCACAAUUGACUCUCAGUUUGCUUGGGUUUUAUUUAACUGGGAUUCUUCAUGUAAAUGUUCCCUGUGUUUGAAAUUUCUAUUUGCAACCUUGUAUGAACUCCCCUGGUACAUUUAAAGAACUUAUUUUUAUACUUGAAGAUACCUUGUGUGUACUACAGUUGACAGAGCAUUUGUGAGUUGGGCCAUAAAUAGAGCUUAGUGGAUGUUUAUGCCAUUUAAAUUUUAAAUUUUCAGGAAUCUGAAAAAAACCUCACUUUUUUCAUACGGAAAAAUAAUUAUUAUUGUGUUAUAAAGUGCAGGUAGUUAAGUACUAAAGCAGAUCAAAAGGUUAUGAAAUCAACUGUUUUAAAAAGGUAGUGAUAACUACAGGCAACUAGGAGAGAAUAUUGGAAUGAAAAGGUGAUAAUCCAGUUUUUAAAGCCUGGAACAAAAACUGAGAAUUGCUAUUAAUGAAUAAAACAGAAUUGAGAGAAAGGGGGGAGGGAUAGCCAUAAAAAUCACAUAAGAUUAGUUUGUCAUUUCCUCUAGUGACUGAUGGGGACUCAGACAAAAAAUGUUAGGUUUGAUCUGUUUUGCUAUACUUUUUCUUCUGAAAAACAAAAACAGAAAUCCUGCUGACAGAUUCAGGGCACACUUUGCAGCACUUAAAAGUGGUGAUUGCUCUACUAAUAUUCCUUCCCAUUUUGUUCUAUUCAGCCAUGACUUCUAUGACCUCUGUCUACACCUUCCAAAAAAGGAUUCCAGGACACCUAACACAGAAAAACAGUCCUGACCAGACCCUUUAUUAAACAGUCAUUAAAUAGUAGAACCACUAAAACUGACUCAAGAUUAGUUUUCUUGUUUUUCAUACGUUGUUAUGCUCUAUCAGUUUGCUCCUUCUUACUUUUUCCUAAAUUAACCAUUCCUAUCUGUCACUUUUUUGUUAUAUGCUUCAUUCACUUCUAAAAUCUGGCAUGGUACCUCAAUCAUUCACUUUGAUAUCAGUAGUCCACAGUGGAAAGCUGCCAGCAGUACUCUUAUUAUUUCACCUCUUAUAUCCUAAAUAAAAUAUUUUGGGCUUCUUCAUUAAUUUGAAAGAUCUGAUACAAGGGAAGUCUACCAGCAUCUUCAUGAUACUUUUCUUUCUCUAACCAGAGGCCUGAAAGUCCCUUCUCCCCCAUGGCCCAAAAUAGAAAUCUUGUCUUCAUUUCUAUGAAGCUAUUUUGAAAAAAAAACCAAACUUUAUUUUUUCUACCCUUUAUUUCCCAGAUGCUGACUGCUUCAAAGCUCUCAGUUUUACUUUAAUGACAAAUUUGUCUCAGUUCACAUUUUCCCCAAAAGACAGAACUCAGAUAUGCCCAUAUUUGGUAUUACCAAAUUGAAUGAAUCAUAGAUGAAAAUGAAGUUACUAUUUUAUCCUUAUUAUGUUUAGGCUUUCCCAGUUGUUAGUAGUUAUGGAGAAGAUUAUGCUGAUCCUAGAGCUCAUAAUAUGCCAUGAGUUUUAAUGCUUGUAAUUUUCAAGCUCUAUGCAGCAAAAGGAAGAGCUACAUGUUGUAGCACAUCUGCACGUUAGGAGUUCUGUAAGCUGAGUCAGGUUUCUGCAGAGAUCAUCUCUCCAGAAGCUUGAAUGGAACAGGAAUGAAGGGUAACAGAACGUUGCUGUCCAUGGCAUGACAAACAGCAUUCGUCAACAGCAACAUUUCAGCCACAAUGCCCUAACGAAGUAUAAUUUGUUUACAGCAGCAACUCAAAAACACUCAGCAUGGUUAUACUUUAUAAAACCCAUUCAUUUCCAAAUAAUGCAACAGGGUAUACAGUAUUUAAUAUUUCAUUUCAGUUAAUUAUAUUAAUAUUUUCCUGCAGCAUACAAUUAUGAACUUCAGUGACCUCAGUGCAUAUACGUUAUAAUUCCAUAUAUUCUGUAACAACAGGCCUCAUACACUAACAUACAUCUUGUGUCAAAGCUAGUAUGAUUCGUUUAGUUUGUAUUGUAGAAAUACUCUUCCUACCUAUACUACAACAUCUUACAACAUAAUGAAGAAUUUAGGGCUUUCCCCCCCCCCACCCAAAGUGAGCAAAAAUAUGGAGAUAAAACUUGACAGGCUGCAAUGGUUGCUUUUCAAGUUUGAGUUUGUCUUGCACAAGAGGUUGCUCUCAAAGGUGCUGUGCAGUAUAAAACCAGCUCCUUACAUGUAUCUGCAUGUUUGAAAAAACUUUACUAAGACAUUGUGGCUUAGUGUACAAUAUAAAGGGGGUACAUUUUCAAUGUUAAGUGUAUUUUUUCUAGAAAUUUCAGUGAAUAGUUUGAUGUGUUUUUUUUAAUUCAAAAUAAUGUCUUCCCCACAAAAGAGAUAAAUGUGUCAGAUUCAUAGUAGGAGGGUUUUCCUCCAAGAAGUUUUCCUUCUGCUCAACUAUCUUUUUUAAGUCUUUCUUCUGCCUGGAGCUGGAUGUGGCUGGGAGAAGGAAAAAAAAAUCGAAUAAGAACAAAAAAAAAAUUGCUUGUUGGGCUUUAGUGUCAUACCACAAAAAACUAAAUGAGUAAAAAUAUAUUUUAAAAUUCCAGUUCAUCAUAUACAAACAUGUUCAGAAUUUGAUCCAUUGUCUUACCAUCUAUUUCCUUCUGGCACUUCCAUAAUUCAAAGCCUGACUAAAAGUUUCAGGUUAAGUUUAUGUGACAGGCAUGAUCUUUGUAAUGUUACAACAUGAUCCAAAAAUAUAAAGGAAAAUCUAAAGUUUUGGAGUUCUCCCCAUCAUGUCUGUUUGGACUGUUUGUGUUCUGCUGUCCCAGUCGUUAUCUUUUGCUUACUGAGAUCUCUCUCUCUCCUCUGAUUCCUUAGACAUUUCAUAGCUGCUGGUUAGAUGCUAUUACCAUGUGACAUGUUCAACCUUUAAAACAAACAAUUUAUUGUGAAAGUUCAAAACUGUUAGAAUGAUGAAUUUGAAUGCUUAUCACUGAGUUCUUCAGGCCUAAAAAUGCUGUCAAAUUCCAAAACAAACAAGUAUAAUAAAACCCUUCUUUUCAAGGUC